ensembl:lincRNA
AGUCCUCGCAGGCCGAGGCCGCCGGGCUCCGCGCGCAGCUGUCCGAGUGCCGGUGGGAGCUGCGCGCCUCGCGGAGGGACCUGCAGGAGCGCGCACGGGACCAGGCGCGCACGCGAGAGGCCCUCGGGCUGGAGGCGUCCGCGGGGCUCCUGGGAAGCCAGCAGCUGGAGGAGAAGGUCUCGGAGCUCAGGAAGGAGCUGGCCUCGGCCCGGGAGGCACUGAGCGCCGCCCAGCUGCAGAGGGACGUUGUGGAGAGCGAGAGGGAGGGCCUACGUGGAGCUCUGGCUCGGGCCGAGUCCAGCAAUGCUGACCUAGAACUGCUCGUGGGGAGGCUGAGGUCAGAGGGCGUGGAGCAAAGGGACUCCCUGGCCCAGAUGGCUGCCCUGCUGGAAGGGCUGGCUCAGGACAAGGGCACCCUGAACCACCUGGUCCUGCAGGUGAGGUGAGGGCCCAGUGGGUGGGCCCUGCCUUGGGCCUCAGUUUCCCCCAGGGUAGCUGUGAGAGACUCUGUCCCAGCACUAGGUCUCCCAGGCCCAGGCCCCUCCUUCCACCCAUCCUCCCAGAUCUUUCCUGGACUGACCCCCCCUUCCCCCACCAGCAAGGAGCGGGUUUGGGGGGAGGGGCAAGGGAGCCUGUGGCCCCAGCCAGGCCUAGGGGGUGUAGAUCUGGAUGGGAGUGGCCAGCCCAUGGGGGUGGGGGUGCGUGGGCUGGAUGCUGAGCCCUCCUGCCCCGCCGACCCCCGCCCCCUGGCAGCUGGAGCAGGAGCGGGACCAGCUGCGGGCGCAGCGGACGGAGCUGCAGCAGGACUGGGCCAGCGCCCGGGAGCAGCUGACGCAGGCAGAGCAGCGGCUGGCGCAGGUGCGGGCUGAGCACCGGGGUCUGCAGCAGGCCUGCAGGCACCUGGAGCAGCAGCAGGAGCAGCUGGAGGGGCGGGCGGCCCAGCUCGGGCGCGAGAAGGCCCAGCUCCAGGAGCAGGUGGGCCAGCUCACACGCAAGACACGGGCCCUGGAGGAGCAGCUGGCGCGGAGCCUGCAGGACCAGGAGACCCAGCUGGACGCUCUGCAGCGAGCCCUGCAGGAGAAGGACGCCCUGUCCGCGCAGCGGGCCCAGCUGCUGGCCGAGCAGGAGGCCGUAGAGAGGCAGGGCCAGCUCGAGGCCAAGGAGGCGGCCGACCUCAGGGCCGAGAGGGACUCCCUGGAGAGCCGCCUCUUUGAGGCCCAGCAGCUGGCGACGCAGCUGCAGGUGCAGCAGGAGCGGCUGGCGGGAGAGGCCCGGAGUGCCCGGCUGGCUCAGCGCAACUCGCAAGCGGAAGCGGAGCAGCUGAGAAGCGAGUGGGAGGCCCAGGAGGCGCAGCUGCGGCAGGUGGCGAGGCAGGAGCGGGAGGCGCAGGGGGCCCUGGAGCGCCAGGCGCUGGCCCAGCUCGAGGACCUGGCGCAGCUGCAGAGGGAGAAGGAAACCCUGAGUCUGGCCCUGGCGGAGGAGAAGGAGGCGGCCGAGUUCCAGCGGCAGCAGGAGAAGGAGCUGGCGGCCAGAAGCGCAUCCGAGAGGGAGGCUCUGAAAGAGGAAAUUCGGAGCCUGAAGCAGGAGCGGGAUGAGAGCCGCCUCCAGCUGGAGCAGGAGAUGCAACAGGCGCUGUCUCUGAAGGAAGCCCAGCUCGGCCUGCUCAGCAAGGAGCUCUCCAAGGCUGACCGCGAGCGGGAGCAGGUGCAGCAGGAGGCCCAGAGCCGGCAGGAGCAGGCGGAGGCCACCAUCCGCGCCACGGCGGAGGAGCUGAAGGCCCUGCAGGCCCAGUUUGAGGGAGCCAUCGCUGCCCACCAGAGGGAGGCCGCUCCCAGGCACCCCGAGGGGCAGGCCGGGCGCCGGAGAGGAAGGGAACAUGAUUUAACAUGACGGGCUGUUUAUGUUGGCCCCGGAGAGAAAGGUCUCCUUUCAACAGAUUUCAAAGUCAGGCC